CAUUGCUUUCUUUCGGGCAGGGCUGCGAGAACCUCUGUCCAAACCCUGGGAGAGUGGCCACGAGCCCGCUGCGGGAGCAGCCCUGUCCCCCAACAGCAAAACCCGGAGGGCCCGAAGAAUUGCUCGGGGUUCGAGGAAAAUGAAAUGACCUAACACUAGAGUCCUGGUUGCUCGGCUGCGAGCCGGAUCCCUCGGCGCUGCAGGAGAUCGACCUGCGGGGCCCGGGACGCUGUUGGCGAUUUCGGACCCGGGGGAAGCUCGCAGAGCCAGUCCCGGGGUCCGUUCGCCCAGCCCUAGCCUUAGGGUGCGGACGGACCCGCCGCGGGGGCCCAGCGUCCGGGAGAACCGGGCCGCUGGAGACGAAAGCGCGGGAGUGGCCGCGCCCCCGGCCCCCAGUCCUUCUCCCGGGGCCAAGCCACCCUGUCAUCGCCGGGACAUCACGGGACACCACGCGGCCAGCCGAGGGUUCAAAGCCUUCGGCCGGCCUUCCCUGCGCCCCACCGCGCGGUGGACUGGGGCGGCAAUUGGCGUUCUUCGUCUGAGCGAGGUCUGGGGUAGAGCGAGCGAGCAAGAGAGCUGCCAGGCUCAGGCUCCGGCUCCCGCCGCGCCCCAAGAGGCUCACCCACGGGCAGGGGCAGGAAUCUCUCGGAGACCCAGGUACCACAUACUGCAGCAUCCUCUGGGAGUAGCAGGGACAAGCAGGUCAGCGAUGGACCACCUCUCACGGCCACAGACGCUCAAGCUCGGUGCUCCCACACUUCACUCUUCCACGCAGAGCACCUGUGGCCGGUCCACAUGUCACGCACUGUUCCUUUACGUGGACUUUAAUGAAGUCUGAACCACAUCUGGGGUUGGGGGAGAGAGUCAGGAGCAGGGCAAGCAGAGGGGCCUGCAGGCUAGUCCUGCCUGCUCUGGCCUAUCUCAGAACAGAGACAGCAGAGACUGGGGCUCCUCAGAGUGGAGGUGGGGGGGGUGUCUUUAGGUCCACAGCCCUAGUUACACGAGAGCUCUACAGCCAACUCAAAGCCAACUUUCCACGUGUGACACACACACAUCUCCAUCUCCGAUCAGAAUGUGCCCCAAACUGCACAUGCAAAACCUGGCUGUACACUCACUCAUGGUCCCUAUACCCACCAGUACACACAGGCUGUGCACUGAGAAUAUAAGUGAGCUGGGGACAGAUAAACCUAUUUGCUCACACCCAGGAAGGGGGCACGUUUCUGGUUCAGGGUUAACUUAGUGGUCAGGGUGACACUGGGAGCAGAACUUGGUAAGGAAAGGGACAGAAUCUACCCACUCAGAUUCAUUUCCUCUGCCAAAACUGGGACUGAGGUUGGAGUAGAAGAGUCCCCAAGUCUCAGAAGUGAAUAUUAUACCUAAAAAAAACUGCACCAAGAAAGACAGUCAACCCAACAGCCAUUCCAUUUGCCUGCCAUGAGGAACUCUAUCCUGCCUGUAUCAAACACAGAGCUAGUGUCUGACCAGAGUCUCCACAUGGAGACCUUUUUUAUGUGAAUACAAGAGAUGUAUACAGCUCUAGGAAUAGUAUGUACAAAUGUACCGAUCCUGACACAGAGAGAUAAGGAACAGGACACCCCUCUCCAGCUUCUGAGUAGCCAUGACAAGCUGGCAUGCUGGCUUUGCCUCUCCUCUCCAGCCUGGAGGAGACUGGUGCCUUGGUGGCUAUGACAGUUUAUCAUUGGUUCUUGUAGAGAUAAUACAAGCCACCAACUGAGGGCAUUUGGGCAGAUUAGGGAGAGACUUUGAGGGUGAAGGGCUGUACCUCUAGGGCUCAGGUUCCAAAUGUGAGCGAGAGUGGUAGCUAGACAUGCCUGGCUAAUGUAUACAAAAAUGUAUACAAACGGGUCCCAGGUACACAGGUACACAAAGGUCCUGCAGAAGGCCAGCAGUGUGAUGUCCAAUCUAAUUGCUCAGAGGAGCAGUGGGGGAGAAGAUGAGAGCACAAGACAUUUACUUGCAUACACAGCUCCAGGAGUUUGUGGUUUAAUUAUCACAUGGGAGAGCAUAUACAGAGAUAGAUAUCGCAUAUAAGGUAGCUGUCCCUCCCAUGUGGCGCCUAUGUGGGAAAGGUGUCCUUGGGUAAGUCCCUUGAGUAGUGACUCCAGAUCACUAAGGUACAGAGCAUGCUUGGUGACAUUUGGAAUCUGCUCUCCGGUUCCCUGACUGAGCAGAAGGAAGGACGAAGCAGUAGAAAGAAUCCCACCCUAACCCUCCCCUGUGGGGCGGAACCUGAAGGAGCUGGCUGACGGGCUCCCAACCGCUGGGUCCUCCACUGGGCUCCUGUGCCUCGCAGUGUCCCCCUCGGGAAGUUUCUCUUUCUGACUAUUUUCCCAUCCUCCCGCUUCUGCCUCCUCAGCUCUCUCACUAAACAUAGCCACAAAGAAACUGGCUGGAUGCAGGAAUGAAGGCCAAUAAAGAGAUUCAAGGUAGCCGUGGAGCCUUUACUGAAGAACCCUGUAUGAACCGCAGGGGAUUUUUUUGUUGUUGUUGUUGUUUGUUUUGUUUUGUUUUGUUUUCUGCACAGACAUUAGAAUAAAACCCUGAGGUUGUUUCC
ensembl:processed_transcript expressed sequence AW047730